rnacentral:lncRNA from 1 species
GUGUCUCUGUGUGUGUCUCUGUGUGUCUCUGUGUGUCUCUGUGUGUGUCUCUGUGUGUCUCUGUGUGUGUCUCUGUGUGUGUCUCUCUGUGUGUGUCUCUGUGUCUCUGUGUGUCUCUCUGUGUGUCUCUCUGUGUCUCUGUGUGUGUCUCUGUGUGUGUCUCUCUGUGUCUCUGUGUGUGUCUCUGUCUGUCUGUGUCUCUGUCUGUGUCUCUGUGUGUGUCUCUGUGUGUGUCUCUCUGUGUCUCUGUGUGUGUCUCUGUCUGUCUGUGUGUCUCUGUGUGAACAGCUCCUCCUCAGAUCCCUCUCUUCAGUUGAACCCGGAGCAGCCCAGCAGCAGGACAGAGACUAAAACCAGUUUAAAAGACGCCUUCCUACGCAGCCUGGCAGCCACACAGUGGGAGAAGAGGAGGAGGAGUAAACACCUCAGUCAGUCCAGGCUGUCCUCGUCUGAUGAUGUCAUAACUCCCAGCCCAGCAGCAGAGCAGGGCAGCAGUGCAGCAGCAGAGUCCCAGCCUGGUUCCAGCAGUUUGGACACAAACGGACACUCAGGGCUCCAGAAUGACCCAGCAGCCC